rnacentral:rRNA from 1 species
UGCGGGGGGAGCAAGCGUUGUUCGGAUUUACUGGGCGUAAAGGGCGCGUAGGCGGUCAGCACAGGUCAGUUGUGAAAUCUCCGGGCUUAACUCGGAAAGGUCAACUGAUACUGUGCGACUAGAGUGCGGAAGGGGCAACUGGAAUUCACGGUGUAGCGGUGAAAUGCGUAGAUAUCGAGAGGAACACCUGCGGCGAAGGCGGGUUGCUGGGCUGAUACUGACGCUGAGGCGCGAAAGCUAGGGGAGCGAACGGG